UUGGAAACUGUCGAACUUGAGUGCAGUAGAGGUAAGUGGAACUCCAUGUGUAGCGGUGGAAUGCGUAGAUAUAUGGAAGAACACCAGUGGCGAAGGCGGCUUACUGGACUGCAACUGACGUUGAGGCUCGAAAGUGUGGGUAGCAAACAGGAUUAGAUACCCUGGUAGUCCACACCGUAAACGAUGAACACUAGGUGUUAGGGGGUUUCCGCCCCUUAGUGCCGAAGCUAACGCAUUAAGUGUUCCGCCUGGGGAGUACGACCGCAAGGUUGAAACUCAAAGGAAUUGACGGGGACCCGCACAAGCGG
rnacentral:rRNA from 1 species